rnacentral:rRNA from 1 species
AUACGGAGGAUCCGAGCGUUAUCCGGAUUUAUUGGGUUUAAAGGGUGCGCAGGCGGGAGAUUAAGUCGGCGGUGAAAUUUUGCAGCUCAACUGGAAAAGUGCCUUCGAAACUGGUUUCCUUGAGUGUAGAUGGAGUAGGCGGAAUUUGUGGUGUAGCGGUGAAAUGCAUAGAUAUCACGAGGAACUCCGAUUGCGCAGGCAGCUUACUAAACUACUACUGACGCUCAGGCACGAAGGCGUGGGGAUCAAACAGGAUUAGAUACCCUGGUAGUCCACGCAGUAAACGAUGAUUACUAGCUGUUUGCGAUACAAUGUAAGCGGCUGAGCGAAAGCGUUAAGUAAUCCACCUGGGGAGUACGUUCGCAAGAAUGAAACUCAAAUGAAUUGACGGGG